rnacentral:rRNA from 1 species
CACGUAGGGUGCAAGCGUUGUCCGGAUUUAUUGGGCGUAAAGAGCUCGUAGGCUGUUCGAUAAGUCGGGUGUGAAACCUCCAGGCUCAACCUGGAGACGCCACCCGAUACUGUCAUGACUAGAGUCCGGUAGGGGAGCGUGGAAUUCCUGGUGUAGCGGUGAAAUGCGCAGAUAUCAGGAGGAACACCAGCGGCGAAGGCGGCGCUCUGGGCCGGUACUGACGCUGAGGAGCGAAAGCGUGGGUAGCAAACAGG